rfam:Planktomarina temperata RCA23, complete genome.
UUGCCGAUGCCAAACUGCCCGAUAUGCAAGCGGGAUGGGAGCAGGCCAUGUCAAAUGUCAUGGCCGGACUGACCGGAUUGAAUAUGGUCUAUGAAGCGG